GAUGAACGCUGACAGAAUGCUUAACACAUGCAAGUCGAUGGGGAAGUGGUGCUUGCACCAUGGUAACCAUGGCGGACGGGUGAGUAACGCGUAAGGAACUUGCCUGCGGGACUGGGAUAACAGCAGGAAACUGCUGAUAAUACCGGAUAAGGUCAUUAAGCUGCAUAGCUUAGUGAUGAAAGGAGACGCCUGCGGAGAGCCUUGCGUCCUAUUAGCUAGUUGGAGGGGUAACGGCCCACCAAGGCGAAGAUAGGUAGCCGGCCUGAGAGGGUGGACGGCCACAAGGGGACUGAGAUACGGCACUUACUCCUACGGGAGGCAGCAGUGGGGAAUAUUGGACAAUGGGGGCAACCCUGAUCCAGCAAUUCUGUGUGCACGAAGACGGUUUUCGGAUUGUAAAGUGCUUUCAGCAGGGAAGAAGGAAGUGACGGUACCUGCAGAAGAAGCGACGGCUAAAUACGUG
rnacentral:rRNA from 1 species